AUUGAACGCUGGCGGGAUGCUUUACACAUGCAAGUCGAACGAGUGGCGGACGGGUGAGUAAUAUAUCGGAACGUGCCCCGUCGCGGGGGCUAACUACUCGAAAGCGUGGCUAAUACCGCCUACUCUUGGAGCGGCCGAUAUCGGAUUAGCUAGUUGGUGGGUUAAAGGCUAACAAAGGCAACGAUCCGUAGCGGGUUUGAGAGUACGACCAGCAACACUGGAACUGAGAAACGGCCCAGACUCCUACGGGAGGCAGCAGGGGGGAAUUUUGGAAAAGGGGGGAAACCCUGAGGCAGCCAUCCCGCGGGGAGGAGAAGGCCUUCGGGUUGUAAAGUACUUUAGGCAGAGAAGCGGUAUCGGCAGAAGAAGCACCGGCUAACUACGUGCCAGCAGCCGCGGUAAUAC
rnacentral:rRNA from 1 species